CUCUCAAAUAGGACAGCAGCCAUCGUGGUCCUUUCAAAGGGGAGAACAGCAGCUCUCAGGAACUACACACACGGCCAGACAUCAGCCAUACGAAUCCAUGCAAAUGUCAAGACAGGUAUCAUCUAGAGACUAUCAAAAUCUUGGCACUUUUCAUCUUGAGAAAUACUUUUAAAAGUAAUAACAAGACUAAUUGACUAAAGAUAUCUCCAAAAUAGUUUAUCUGUAAAUUUAUAGAUGACGAGGAUGGUUAUUUUUGGGUAGGACAAAGAUGCCCUACACAAAUUUAAAAUAUUAUUUGUUUGCUAUGCAUGCAUGUCAACAAAUCUAUACCUCUCCCUUUCUGUUUUGUUUUGGAGAUAAUGAUGUAACAAUGUUUUUUUAAUCUUCUUUAUUUUUUAAAUCUGAAAAUUUCAAGUAACAAACUAAUGACGUUAUUCUUAAGCAAGUAGCUGUUUUUAGUUUUUGUUAUUUUUAUUUUGAAAAGGUUUCACCUGUUACCCUGCAGCUUGAUCAAUAUCAAAUUUCAAUAUUGCACUUAAGCCCAGUGUUCUGAUGAUGGUUUAAAAAAUCUCACAUUUGGUUCUACUUUUAAGUGAUACUAGACGGGAUUCAUGUUGGAUUUAUGUGUCGAGUCUGAGACCACAAAACCACAAUUUGAUUUUAGCCUUCUUUUUUUUUUUUGAUAAGAUUGAUUUUAGCCAAAUUGCUGCUUUAGAAUUGCAUUUCCCUUAAGGUUUCAGUUUUAACAACUGUUUCCCUGGCAUUAUUUCUAUGAGUUCUUGUGUUAGUGAAUAAAGUAGACAGUAUAUUAUGUGGUAUGCCAAAAACCUGCUUGUUGCUUGAAAUUCCAUUUUUUAUUUUUUCUCUAGCACUUUCUCUUCCUGGCUUACACCCAUUUCUCCUGCAUUUUGCAUCCAUGAAGCUUUCGAGGGUGAUGAACUGUCAAAGCAAUAUAGGAUAUUGGAACUAAAGGAGAAGGAUCAAAUGAAGAGUUUUUCACCAUCAUUUACUAUGUUUAUUGCUUGAAGCAUUUGCUUCAGCCCAAAAAGAGACAUAGAAUUGUAAUUGAAGGUCGAUGACAGCCAGACAGAAGUUACAGAUUCUCUAAUAUUUAUUUUGUUCUCAAGUCUGUCAACUUAUAUGGAAUCUACCCUAUUACCAUUUUAAUCUAGGUCUGUUCACUUCCCCCCAAAGAGAAUAAUAGGAUAACAAUGAGAGAAAAGUGAAAAAAGGUCAUGAGAACUAGCAACAGUGCAUGUAUCUACAGAAGUUGGUAGAGUGAAAUUGUGUAACUAAAGAAAGGUGUAGCAUCCUUAUUAUUAUUAUUUUUUUUUCUACUGAGAAGGUAUACAGGCAAUUCACCCUCCAAAAUCAGUUUAUGGAGUGCAGCAUUUUGAAAGUCUUUGGUAGUGGUUUGAUAAUGCCAGUAAUUUGUAUUUUCUGGUUCUUACUGUUUAAGCUUCUUUCUCAGCAAGUUUGAAUAUUCGCUCUUCUUCAGCUUAUUAAUAAAGACCAGGUUCAAAAGACGUGAUGCUCUUAACAGUUUUUUGAUUUAAAGUAUCUUUACCGAAUAAAGAGCUUUAUUUGGCCACUGCAAUUGUGGAGUAACUCUAAUAUGCAUUUUCAAUUACAUUUUUCUUUAGUUGAGAGGAUUUGGGGUAUUUGGUAGGGUAUGAUGAAUGAUAAUGUUUAUUUUAAGAGUAGAUUUCUGUUCCUUUUAUUUUUCAUUUUAGUGAUUGUCUGUGAAUCAUAAUAUCUAAUGAAUUGCCACUAGUUCCUGACUUCGAUUCUUUCAUUUGUGUUCUAGUUUGAUCCCAUGGGGGGACAGCAGCCAAAUUGACCAUUGGAAAUGGUAGGAAAGCAAUCAUCAGAACCCCUUGAAUGGCAAGAUAGCCACCAGCGGGCAGCAGCUUGAUUCAUCAGCAGAAAGUUGAUUUGAUAGAAUUGCCUACUCUUUAUGUGCUGCUAAUUUUUGUGGGCAAGGAAAUUACUUAAAUCAUUAUUAUAUGCAGUGUAUCUUGAGUUGGCUCACAUCACCGAAGCACAAUUAUGAGGUAGUGUUUAGAAUUCUGGUUACAACUUUCUGGGCAUCUCAUUUCUUUUGCGCAUCCAUGAUCCAUCUUACACAAGAGAUAAAUUAUUUUUGUAUUUUGAGACUCUUCCAAUUAAUAUAUGAAAUUUUAAUGAUAAAGUUCUUUUUGCAUACAUUGCCACAUUGCCAAAUACUGAGGCUCCAAUGUGCAAUGUGUUUGUAAGUUUGUGGAUACUUGUGUUGCCAUCAAUGACCUAGAUAUUGUAGUAUAUUUUAACUGGUGCUUUCCUGUAUAUAAUUUCAUUGCUGUUGCUUGGAGGAGGAAAUGUAGGAUUCUCCGAACAAUGUUAGAUAAUCGAUAAUGUUGUAAUUUGAAGUGAUUUGUUUCUAUUUACAUUUUAAUGUAAGAAUGAAACUUUACUCUUUUAGUCUUGGG
rnacentral:misc_RNA from 1 species